AGCGAACGCUGGCGGCAGGCCUAACACAUGCAAGUCGAACGAAGUCUUCGGACUUAGGCGGACGGGUGAGUAACACGUGGGAACGUGCCUUUAGGUUCGGAAUAACUCAGGGAAACUUGUGCUAAUACCGAAUGUGCCCUUCGGGGGAAAGAUUUAUCGCCUUUAGAGCGGCCCGCGUCUGAUUAGCUAGUUGGUGAGGUAAAGGCUCACCAAGGCUACGAUCAGUAGCUGGUCUGAGAGGAUGACCAGCCACAUUGGGACUGAGACACGGCCCAAACUCCUACGGGAGGCAGCAGUGGGGAAUCUUGCGCAAUGGGCGAAAGCCUGACGCAGCCAUGCCGCGUGGAUGAUGAAGGUCUUAGGAUUGUAAAAUCCUUUCACCGGUGAAGAUAAUGACUGUAGCCGGAGAAGAAGCCCCGGCUAACUUCGUGCCAGCAGCCGCCGUAACAC
rnacentral:rRNA from 1 species